UGGGGAAUAUUGGACAAUGGGCGGAAGCCUGAUCCAGCCAUGCCGCGUGUGUGAAGAAGGCCUUUUGGUUGUAAAGCACUUUAAGCGAGGAGGAGGCUCUUCUAGUUAAUACCUAGGAUGAGUGGACGUUACUCGCAGAAUAAGCACCGGCUAACUCUGUGCCAGCAGCCGCGGUAAUACAGAGGGUGCGAGCGUUAAUCGGAUUUACUGGGCGUAAAGCGUGCGUAGGCGGCUAAUUAAGUCAAAUGUGAAAUCCCCGAGCUUAACUUGGGAAUUGCAUUCGAUACUGGUUAGCUAGAGUGUGGGAGAGGAUGGUAGAAUUCCAGGUGUAGCGGUGAAAUGCGUAGAGAUCUGGAGGAAUACCGAUGGCGAAGGCAGCCAUCUGGCCUAACACUGACGCUGAGGUGCGAAAGCAUGGGGAGCAAACAGG
rnacentral:rRNA from 1 species